rnacentral:tRNA from 1 species
GGCCCCAUCGUCUAGUGGUCCAGGAUGUCACCUUCUCAAGGUGAAGAUCAGGGGUUCGAAUCCCCUUGGGGCUA